rnacentral:rRNA from 1 species
AUACGGAGGAUGCAAGCGUUAUCCGGAUUUAUUGGGUUUAAAGGGUGCGUAGGCGGUUUGCUAAGCGGGAGGUGAAAUGCCGGCGCUCAACGUCGGAAGUGCCUCCCGAACUGGUGGACUGGAAUGACUCUGCCGUGGGAGGAAUGUGUAGUGUAGCGGUGAAAUGCUUAGAGAUUACACAGAACACCGAUUGCGAAGGCAUCUCACGAAGGGUUGAUUGACGCUGAGGCACGAAAGCGUGGGGAUCAAACAGGAUUAGAUACCCUGGUAGUCCACGCAGUAAACGAUGAUGGCUAACCGCUGGUUUUUUCGGAUCAGUGGCCAAGCGAAAGCGAUAAGCCAUCCACCUGGGGGGUACGACCGCAAGGUUGAAACUCAAAUGAAUUGGCGGGG